GACGAACGCUGGCGGCGUGCUUAACACAUGCAAGUCGAACGGUGAAGCGAGUGCUUGCACUCGUGGAUCAGUGGCGAACGGGUGAGUAACACGUGAGUAACCUGCCCAUCACUAUGGGAUAAGCACUGGAAACGGUGUCUAAUACUGGAUACGACCAACCAUGGCAUGGGGCGUUGGUGGAAAGAUUUAUCGGUGAUGGAUGGACUCGCGGCCUAUCAGCUUGUUGGCGGGGUAAUGGCCCACCAAGGCGACGACGGGUAGCCGGCCUGAGAGGGUGACCGGCCACACUGGGACUGAGAGACGGCCCAGACUCCUACGGGAGGCAGCAGUGGGGAAUAUUGCACAAUGGGCGAAAGCCUGAUGCAGCGACGCCGCGUGAGGGAUGACGGCCUUCGGGUUGUAAACCUCUUUCAGCAGGGAAGAAGCGCAAGUGACGGUACCUGCAGAAGAAGCACCGGCUAACUACGUG
rnacentral:rRNA from 1 species